UGUGCAAUCAACAAUACUGUUACCUCACAAUUCAUAUAAGGUGAUUGUUUCCAUUUUCAGCAGGAUCAAGAAAAGAAUAUUCUCAUGACUUGGGAGUGAGUAUUUUCAAGCAAUAGAAUAGAGAAAUAAUUAAGAAAAGUGAAGAUCUAAUGCAGUCCUUUUAGUACCAGGCAGCUUCUAACCAGAAACAUUCUAUAGCUAUUAGCAGCUAGUUGCUAGUACGGUGGUUAUAGCAAGGAAAUAAAGCUGUUGUGAAAUCUUAAUUGGAAAAGAAUUGAAAAUAACGGUACUUGAACACAUAACCUUGGUGGCGAGUGCUUAGUUGCCAUGGAGAUUGGCAAAGACUUGCAAUGUAGACAUCUAAUCUUCACAAAAAUGAACAAGGGUACUGGUAUACAAAAAUACCUUCCCUGUAAUUUGGAGCAGUUUCAUAGCCUGUCUAUCAUAAAUUGGCAUUUCAAAAAGUCAGGGCUGUGACUGAUAUGAGACAUAGUGAUUUAAUCUAAUUUGUGAAAAACAAGGAAUUGUCACAUGCAGCAAUGAACAGAGAGCCAUUCUGACAAGGCAAAGGCAGAGCUGACAGGCACUCCCACUCACCUUCAGGAAAAUAUUGAGAUUCAGCUACAAACAGCACUCCAGAGGAAGCUAUACUUUAGUAAUGAAACUUAAAACUUUUGUAGAUACCUUGUGAGUUUCUUUUGCCAUUUGGCACUCAAACCCGAGAGGAAAACAGACCUUUCUUGUGGGCAUAACCCCCAUCAUAAAAGUCACAAUGGCAGGCUUGAUUCAGGUGUCCCAGGAGAGUGUCAGUCCCAGCUGGAGCAACUGAUAGCAGCAGAAAGCACUUUGAGGGAUGAAGGUACCUCAGAGCAUGGGCCACUUCUUAUGUGAAGUAUUUGCCAUCCAAUUUCAAGUGACAUGAGGGAGACUGGGUCCAUGGAGGUAACUCACUGAAACAUCUCUAACUGGUUGGCUUCCCUCUAAUUAAAUAGUAAUAGACAUUGUGAUGAACAACAUGAUGCACACAAAAUAGAGACACAGACAAUCUGAUUCUAGUUAGCUCUCUUUUUACACUGCUGUAAAACUGGACUGACGCAGUUGCGAGCCAGGCCCCCAGAGUAAACUACACCUAAAAAUCAACACUGUGGUUUGUGUGUUGUGUCAUAAGGGACAGGUCUGGCUUAGACAUAUUCUGCUCCAGGUUUAUGAUCUGGAUUUAAAUCAGCCUCAGAUGCUGACAUCUGGGGUUUCUGGACUCUGUAAGCUGUGGUGUUGAGAACUCUUUAGGCUGUAACUAGUGAGACAGCAAAAUCCAUCCAGGAGCUCUGAGACCAUGGCUUAAAUGUUACCAAGAUCAGAAUUAACUAAAGCUGUAUCUUGUUGGAUGGCCCUUCAGCUGCCAAAGUAAAACUGUUUUUUGGCUUUCCACCAAAGACAGUAAACUAGGGUAGUCAUUCCCCUUUGAACAUUACAUAGUUUGAAGAGUUAGCAUUGAAGCAUGCCAAAAAAUAACUGAAAUAAUAUCAGCAUGUCAUUAUUUAAUGGAUUUAACCAAAUUAACGCCGAACCUAGUCAAUAAGUACAGAAAACACUCAUUUCUCUUUCUUUGAGACUGUACUCUUAAAUUAGAGCUGCCAGCUGUCAUUAAACACGUGAAAAGAAAAAAAAUACUCUGUGUCUGAUUUAAAAUAUUUUCUGGUACAUCUUUCCACUGUAUCCCAGGAGAAAAUGACAAUUGUUUUUGUUACAGAAGACAAAACACCACUCACAUCCCUUGCCCUCCCUCUGGGAAGGGAAGCAUAUCACAGAAUCUAUUAGGUUGGAAAAGACCUCUGAGACCAUCAAGUCCAGUCUUUGACUGAUCAUCACUUUCUCAAAGAGGCCACAGCACUAUGUGCCAUGUCCAGUCUUCCCUUAAACACUUCUAGAUUCAGUGACUCCACAUCUCCCUGGGCAUUUUAUUCCAAUGUUUAAUUGCCCUUUCUUUAAAGAAAUGCCUCCUAAUGUCCAACCUGAACUUUCCUUGGGGCAGUUUGAUAGUAGAUACACCUCAGAUCCUUUUUGAGAAGUGUGAUGAGCAGCUCCUUCUGGGCUGCUGAGGCAAGUGGCUCUCAAGUCUCCAGACUUCAAAUCUAACACCUGGGGCUUCAAAUGCAACAUUUUUUCGAAGUAGCCCUACAGCUUGGCGGCUGUGGUGUUGGCAGAGCUUGUCUGACACACCAAUCUCCACCUUCCUUCCUCCCAGGAAUUUCCUUUCAAUACUUGCCACAGAAUCACAGGAUAUUCUGAGUUGGAAGGCCUGGCCCCUGCCCAGGACACCCUAAGAGUCACACCAUUUGCCUGAGAGCAUUGUCCAAACUCUCCUUGAACCGUCAGGCUUAGCGCUGUGACCGCUUCCCUGGGGAGCCGUUCCAGUGCCCAACCACCCUUUGGGUGAAGAAUCUUUUCCUGAUAUUCAGCCUAAACCUCCCCUGACACAACUUCAGGCCAUUCCCUUGGGUCCUGUCACUGGUCACCACAGAGAAGAGAUCAGUGCCUGCCCCUCCUCCUCCCCUUGUGAGGAACCUGUAGAGAGCAAGGUCUCCCCUCAGCCUGCUCUUCUCCAGCUGAGCAAACCAAGAGACCUCAGCCGCUCUUCACAGGGCCUCUCCUCCAGACCCACUGCCACCUUUGUUGCCCUCCUCUAUAGCUUUAUAUCUUUCUUAUUUUGUGGCGCCCAAAACUGCUCAUGAUAUUUAAAGUGAGGCCACACCAGUGCAGACUCGGCCCCACUUUUAUGAGUGACUAUCAGGUCACUUUUGUUCUGGAAGAGCUGAAAGCCCCAACUCUUCACUCAUUAAUCACUUUGCGAGCCCAGUGACCCCAUAGCUCUGGCAGGUGGGCUGAGACGGGGCUGGCCGAGGAGGGAAGCCGCCUCUCCUGCUCGCCAGCCGGAUUCCCUCCCCAUCCGCAGCCGGACAGCCGGACGGACAGACGGACAGACGGACAAACGGAGAAGGGCGGGGCCCGGGGUGCUCCCUGCCCUGCCGCCCCCGGCACCUGCCGUGACGCGGGCGCCGGUAGGGGGCGCUGCCGCCCGCUCGGCCUCAGGGCGCGGUGGAGCGGGGCCGGAGCGGAGGGGGCCGGGCCGGGGCCGGAGCGGGGCCGGGGCCGGGGCCGGGGAUGCGGGGGCGCCGCGGCAGCGCUCUCACUGCCCCCACGGGCGCUGCGCUCCGCGCCUCUGCUCCGUUCACCUAGCUGCCCCUCCCGCAUCGUGCCCCCCUCCACCUUUCCCGCCCGCCGGCUCUGAGGGCUUGAACCACCUCCCGAAGGAGGCUGGGAGCGUCCCUGGUGUGAGGAGCGGAGCGCCCGACCCGGACCGGGAGUUCGAUAGGAAAGACGCGAGGUCUAGAGGAGGAGAGUUUCUUUCCAGGGUAGAUCCUGCUUCUUCAAAGUUUCCAAUUGCUGCCUGGAUUGAAGCACUGUAUCUGAGAAAGCAGAUCUGACAGCUCUCCCCCGUUCAGAGGCUUCGAGUUAACUGUGAUCAACAGAUGAGAAGUAGUCGGUCCCUGACUUUGUUUCACACAUAACUACGGCACUCAGUCAGGAAGCACUUUGCCAGACAUAAUACAGAGCAAUGUGUGCGUCUUUCUCUUGGUCCUAAUGCCCUCACUGUGCUUGUCCUAUCAAAUCAAAACUUUGCAAAAGCUGUAAGAGGUGAAAUACAAGAAGCAGAAUGUUGUAUUAGAAAAGAAAUCAAGGCACACCACAGACUGCUGUACGUUGGAAUAGCUGUAAUAAGCUGAGAAUGCACAGAGCAAGAAUCAAGAAUUUUAUAAAGUGAACGAAAGGUGGAGAGCACAUGUUUUAUUUCAGG